rnacentral:rRNA from 1 species
UACGUAGGGUGCGAGCGUUUGUCCGGAAUUAUUGGGCGUAAAGGGCUCGUAGGCGGUUUGUCGCGUCGGGAGUGAAAACUCAGGGCUUAACCCUGAGCCUGCUUCCGAUACGGGCAGACUAGAGGUAUGCAGGGGAGAACGGAAUUCCUGGUGUAGCGGUGAAAUGCGCAGAUAUCAGGAGGAACACCGGUGGCGAAGGCGGUUCUCUGGAACGCAACUGACGCUGAGACGCGAAAGCGUGGGGAGCAAACAGG